rnacentral:rRNA from 1 species
UGCAAGUCGAACGGUGAACAGGAAGCAGCUUGGUGCUUCGCUGACGAGUGGCGGACGGGUGAGUAAUGUCUGGGAAACUGCCUGAUGGAGGGGGAUAACUACUGGAAACGGUAGCUAAUACCGCAUAACGUCGCAAGACCAAAGAGGGGGACCUUAGGGCCUCUUGCCAUCGGAUGUGCCCAGAUGGGAUUAGCUAGUAGGUGGGGUAACGGCUCACCUAGGCGACGAUCCCUAGCUGGUCUGAGAGGAUGACCAGCCACACUGGAACUGAGACACGGUCCAGACUCCUACGGGAGGCAGCAGUGGGGAAUAUUGCACAAUGGGCGCAAGCCUGAUGCAGCCAUGCCGCGUGUAUGAAGAAGGCCUUCGGGUUGUAAAGUACUUUCAGCGGGGAGGAAGGGAGUAAAGUUAAUACCUUUGCUCAUUGACGUUACCCGCAGAAGAAGCACCGGCUAACUCCGUGCCAGCAGCCGCGGUAAUACGGAGGGUGCAAGCGUUAAUCGGAAUUACUGGGCGUAAAGCGCACGCAGGCGGUUUGUUAAGUCAGAUGUGAAAUCCCCGGGCUCAACCUGGGAACUGCAUCUGAUACUGGCAAGCUUGAGUCUCGUAGAGGGGGGUAGAAUUCCAGGUGUAGCGGUGAAAUGCGUAGAGAUCUGGAGGAAUACCGGUGGCGAAGGCGGCCCCCUGGACGAAGACUGACGCUCAGGUGCGAAAGCGUGGGGAGCAAACAGGAUUAGA